CCGACCUGAGAGGGUGAUCGGCCACACUGGGACUGAGACACGGCCCAGACUCCUACGGGAGGCAGCAGUAGGGAAUCUUCCGCAAUGGACGAAAGUCUGACGGAGCAACGCCGCGUGUAUGAAGAAGGUUUUCGGAUCGUAAAGUACUGUUGUUAGAGAAGAACAAGGAUAAGAGUAACUGCUUGUCCCUUGACGGUAUCUAACCAGAAAGCCACGGCUAACUACGUGCCAGCAGCCGCGGUAAUACGUAGGUGGCAAGCGUUGUCCGGAUUUAUUGGGCGUAAAGCGCGCGCAGGCGGUCUUUUAAGUCUGAUGUGAAAGCCCCCGGCUUAACCGGGGAGGGUCAUUGGAAACUGGAAGACUGGAGUGCAGAAGAGGAGAGUGGAAUUCCACGU
rnacentral:rRNA from 1 species